UACGAGAGGGCCGCUACCACGCGAGUGGAUGCCAAUCCCCAAAACCUCUCUCAGUUCGGACUGGAGUCUGCAACCCGACUCCACGAAGCUGGAUUCGCUAGUAAUCGCGCAUCAGCCACGGCGCGGUGAAUACGUUCCCGGGCCUUGUACACACCGCCCGUCAAGCCAUGGGAGCCGGGGGUACCUGAAGUGCGUAACCGCGAGGAGCGCCCUAGGGUAAAACUGGUGACUGGGGCUAAGUCGUAACAAGGUACC
rnacentral:rRNA from 1 species